CCCCUCUCAGAGCACACCUGGAGAGUUCCCAGCACUCUACCAGUCUUGACUAUGGGAGGGAGAGUCAGGCAGAGGCCUACCCAUUCCAUUCCUAGCUUGGCCAGUGGCUAGUGAGUGGAUGGCAAUCUGCUACAAGU
rnacentral:snoRNA from 1 species